rnacentral:lncRNA from 1 species
UGUCUCUCUCUCUCUCUCUCUCUCUCUCUCUCUCUCUCUCUCUCUCUCUCUCUCUCUCCCUCUCUCUCCCUCUCACGCUCUCUCUCUCCCUCUUUCCCUCUCUCUCCUUCUCUCUCCCUCUCUCUCUCUCACCCUCGUUUGGGUGGCAUACCUCUAUUUUUUAUACCGCAAUCAGGUCACUUCACGUCGUUCGUCCGUCAGUCACAUCCGUUAGUCAUCACAUCAUUUUUUUUUCCAUUGACUUUUUCUCUCCUUACUAGAUUUUGUCACUUGGUGCAAAUUCGGCGAUCCCCAUUUUUUAUAAAUAGGACCCUCCCUUCACCAUUUCUUCAUCACUUCUAUUCCAUCCUCCAAGAGCAUAGAGAGAGA